GGCUGCUUGGCGAAAUGGUAUCGCGUCACUUUCCGGUAUAGAGAAUUUGGUGAAGAUUGCGGGUUCGAGUCCCGUGGCGGUCG